UGAAUUGACGGGGACCCGCACAAGCAGCGGAGCGUGUGGUUUAAUUCGAUGCUACACGAAGAACCUUUACCAGGGCUUGACAUGUAAGUGGUAGUGAUCUGAAAAGUGAACGACCCUUCGGGGAGCCUAUACAGGUGUUGCAUGGCUGUCGUCAGCUCGUGUCGUGAGAUGUUCGGUUAAGUCCGCUAACGAGCGCAACCCUCGCCGUAUGUUACAAGUGUCAUACGGGACUGCCGGUAAAAAGCCGGGGGAAGUGGGGAUGAUGUCAAGUCAGCAUGACCUUUAUAUCUAGGGCUACACACACGCUACAAUGGUCUGUACAAUGGGUAGCCAAGCCGCGAGGCGGAGCCAAUCCUAAAAAGCAGGCCUCAGUUCAGAUUGCAGUCUGCAACCCGACUGCAUGAAGCCGGAGUUGCUAGUAACCGCAGGUCAGCAAUACUGCGGUGAAUACGUUCCCGGGUCUU
rnacentral:rRNA from 1 species